AUGGAUUCCAUUUUGUUUACAUCAUGGCCGUCGUGAUUUGUUUUAUCGGCUCGAUUGGUGACUUUGUUUUGUGUUUGAGUUGUAAACAACGUCAUUAGACGAUUUAACAGGUCACAAAAUGGACAAGUAUGAAACUAUCAAGCGUCUUGGCUCGGGGGCAUGUGGUGCUGUGUACCUGGUCAGACAUAAGGACACAAAGAGAUUGUUUGCUUUAAAGAAGAUAGAUCUGGACGAAAGGAGAAAAACACGAACAAAAGAAGCAGUAAUAAAGGAGGCCAGAAUAUUAGAGAAACUGAAGCACCCACAUAUUGUUGCCUUUCAAGAAAGCUUCUGUGAUGAAGUAGAGGAAUGUCUUGUUAUAAUACAGGACUAUUGCGAUGGGGGUACAAUUGAAGAUAAGAUUCGAGAAGCAACAAAGGAGAAAAAGUAUUUUGAAGAAAAGCAGAUCAUGGAGUGGUUCCUGCAGAUUGUGAUGGGGGUGCAGUAUUUCCAUUCCAAGAAGAUUCUACACAGAGAUUUGAAAACAGAGAAUAUUUUUCUGACAAAGAAAAAUGUAGUAAAGAUAGGUGAUUUUGGAAUCUCCAAGACUUUGGACAGCACUAUUGAUGUAGCCAAGACGGUGGUUGGGACGCCGACGUAUCUGAGUCCAGAGCUCUGUCAGGACAUCCCGUACAACUCCAAGUCGGAUAUCUGGGCUCUGGGCUGUGUCCUGUACGAGUUGUGUGCUCUCUGUACGCCGUUUGACGCCCCCAACAUCCUCAGUCUCUUCUACAAGAUUGUUAAGGCCGAGUUUGUGCCUCCUCCAUCGCGGUACACGCAGCAGCUGAGGGAGUUGGUGAAGUUGCUGCUGGCCAAGACACCAGAAGACAGACCCAGCGCCAGCGCCAUCCUGAACUUGCCGUAUGUGCAGACCCAUCUGGGAGACUUCAUCCAGGAGAAGGAGACACUAUUCCAGCAGAGGAGUGUCAGGGACACACUAAGCCAGUCUCUUCUAGCUGAUAGUCCAGGCAGCAAAGAUAAACUUUUGAGUCCACCCAGUGACAAGUCCUCGAGUGGUCCCAGCCCUAGAGUCAGUAGGAGGGCAACCGACAGUCAGAAGUCUCCGUCUCACCAACCAGAAGCAGCACUCACUUAUAGAGCUGGCAACAGGCUGGAGGGUAGGUAUUGUCACACACAAGGCACAGUAGUGAGAGGGAGGGAGGGAGGGCAACCGACAGUCAGAAGUCUCCGUCUCACCAACCAGAAGCAGCACUCACUUAUAGACCUGGCAACAGGCCGGAGGGAGAAGAUAAGGCAGAGUAUUCGGAUGAUUUUGAUGAAUCAUCAUCUUCUGAAAUUGAAGAAGACAUACAAGAGGUUCCUGAGGCCAAGGAUGGCAGCGAGUCCGAAGCAGAUUAUGCUGAUGACUUUGAGGAAUAUGAUUCCAGUCAGGAUCUGGAGGAGCUGGUUCACCAGGCCAGGGAGGCGCGGGACGUAGAGGCUCGGGACGACUACUUUGAAGAAAGUAUGAACAGCAGUACUCUAAGUGAGGCAUCACUGCUGAAGAAACAUUACCUAGAGGAUCUGGGGGGAGGCCUACUAGGGGAUGUGACAGCCAUGAUGGAGGACACACAGACAGACAACCCAGACUGAACAAGGGAGGCGUCAUUGUACAGAUAUGCUACAGCAAUGAACAGACAAACAUUCCAUAGACCCUGUGUGUGGAGGUCUCAUUGAGAUGACGUAUAACAAGACCAACCUCAGAUUUGUACAUGUUGGUGAUCUUGAUUGUGUACCCAUCUUCCCGAGGCAAGGUUAUUAACUGACUAUAAAGGUCCAGUUUCCACCCUUGCUGAACUAGGCUGGCAUUGUAGAGUUCUGUCUAAUAGUCCAAUCAAAACUGCGCAACGUAAUGGACAUCUGGUUCAUAAACUGCUGUGCAGAUUUCAGUUGAUUGCAGGAUUUGCAAAACGUGUACUGCCAACUCGGUGUCAACAGAUAUUUUCUAAAUAUUUUAUUGUUUUUAAUGAAGGUGCUCAAGUAAUUGGAUACUCUUUGCAAAGUAAGACCCUUUAGGCAAGGCGUUUUAUAUUAUUCGGAUUACGGACCCGCCGACUCUAAUUUUUGAGAAAAUGUAAAAAAAGAAAAAUCAGAUUUCCAUAUUUUUUUUCCUGCCGAUAGCCGUGUAGUCAGUUAUUUUAUUUGUUAUCAUCACCUUUUAAUAAAAAAAACAUAUGAAUUUACCCUUGUAAACUAGUUAAGAGAUACAUAAUCGAUCUAUGUUGAUCUCGAAUUUUUAUUGUUACAAGGGGCUUUAUCGUCACAAAUGGCGGUCUUUUGAGCACAGAAUAUGUUCAUAAAUCCGUAAUCCUAAAAAUAAGAAAAGCCUGCCCCAUUUUUCAAAUUUUGAUUAUCGAUCAGAUCGCCUUGACUGGGCACCGCCAUUUUGUUUGAAGCAAAUGCCAAUUAUAUGGGAGGUGGAAUCUGAUUGGUCCAUAGGAAGGACAUAGAAGGGGCAUAACUCAUAAUUGCCACUGUUGGUGCUACAGUCAAACCCAAAACGGCCCCCCUUGUUCGGCAAGGGUGGAAACUGGACUUUUAUAGUCAGUUAACCCUCUUGCUUUGGGAAGGUGUUGUGUACCUUACAGGUGUGAGUGUGUGGUGUGUAUGCAGUGUAUGGAGUUUGGAAUGUGUUCCUAUUGGGUCAUGUGCUGUAUGCGUGCUGGAAAAAUAUGACCUUGCAUCACUGGUUGUGUUUCCCUCUGUUGAUAGAUGAUCCCUGGAAGUUGUAUAUAUACAUGAAGUCGGUUGUGGUGGCAGUACUGGUUGGAUAUUGAUCAUUAAUCUUUUAUUCUUAAGGUGAGCGAAAAAAUGGUUUUGAUAUGCAAUGACUUUUGAGGCAGAGGUGUCGGGUUAUGAUAAUAAUGCCUCCAUGUUGGAGUCUAUGAGUUCACAGUGCAAGUUUAAAUUUGAACCAAAAAGUUCUAUGGCCAGUGGUUUAUGCAUGUCUUGAUAUUUUGAAUAUUUUUAUGCCUAAAUACCAUUGAAUACACUCUACCAGUCAUUGGGGGAGCACAGGUGGCCCAGUCGUCUAAGGCACCGCGAUUCGCUGUGCAGAGUUGCAUCCCUUGGGCACGCCAGAAACCUAUGGUCGUGGGUUCGAAUCCCGGUUCGCCCCGAUUAUGUUUCUAGG